rnacentral:snRNA from 12 species
CUGGCAGGGUAAAUACCAUGAUCACCAGGCCUGUAGUGGGCUAAGAGGUGGUUUUCCAAGAGUGAGGCCUGUCCCUGGCACUGCAGGCAUGCUGACCCCUGAGAUUUUCCCCAAGUGCAGGAAACUCAACUGCAUAAUUUUGUGGCACUAGGGGGUCUGCUUUAUUGCUCUCCCCCU